rnacentral:rRNA from 1 species
GCAAGUCGAACGAAGUCUUCGCUUGCUGGAUGUCCUUAGUGGCGAACGGGUGAGUAACGCGUGUGGACCUACCUUGGAGCGGGGAAAAACUAUUGGAAACGAUAUCUAAUACCGCAUACGCGCUCAGAGGGAAAGGCUUGGGCCACUGAAAGACGGUCCCGCGUCUGAUUAGCUAGUUGGUGAGGUAAUGGCUCACCAAGGCGACGAUCAGUAGCUGGUCUGAGAGGAUGAUC